GAUCAUGGCUCAGGACGAACGCUGGCGGCGUACCUAACACAUGCAAGUCGAACGGAACUUUUUUAAAAGAUUUCUUCGGAAUGAUUUUGAUUAAGUUUAGUGGCGGACGGGUGAGUAACGCGUGAGUAACCUGCCUCUAAGAGGGGUAAUAACAUUCUGAAAAGAAUGCUAAUACCGCAUAACAUAUAUUUAUCGCAUGGUAGAUAUAUCAAAGAUUUAUCGCUUAGAGAUGGACUCGCGUCCGAUUAGUUAG
rnacentral:rRNA from 1 species